UACGUAGGGGGGCAAGCGUUGUCCGGAUUUAUUGGGCGUAAAGAGCGUGUAGGCGGCUUUACAGGUCCGUUGUGAAAACUCGAGGCUCAACCUCGAGACGCCGGUGGAAACCGUAAGGCUAGAGUCCGGAAGAGGAGAGUGGAAUUCCUGGUGUAGCGGUGAAAUGCGCAGAUAUCAGGAAGAACACCUAUGGCGAAGGCAGCUCUCUGGGACGGUACUGACGCUGAGACGCGAAAGCGUGGGGAGCGAACAGG
rnacentral:rRNA from 1 species